GUGGCUCAGUGGUAGAGCGCUUGCCUUGUAUGCAUGAGGCCUUGGGUUCGAUUCAAC
rnacentral:tRNA from 1 species